CUUCUGUCGUCUGAUAGCUCUACCCAACAUACAUGCGAAUACUAUACCAGUCAACUGAAAAAAAUGAAAAUAUAUUCCACCGAUAAAUUCAUCGAAAUAUAUUAUAUCAUUAGAACGUCACAAUGCACGUGAUUCGAAUCUUAUAAUUAUAUUUGUCAAAAUCUUACCCUAGACUGCAUGAAAUUAACUGCACUUUUAGCUUCGUCAUUAUUAUCGUAUUCGUGCAUCGUACUGUUGAUAUUAUAUUCCAAAAGAUUUUUCACGGUAUCCUGUAAUGCAUAUGCUGCAGUCGCCGCAGACAAUUCCAUUAUUAAGACAACGGAUAAAGAAACUGCAAACUAGGAAAAAAAAAGGAAAAUAUAAAUAAUAUUAGCGUAAUAUACUUACCACAAGAACCAUGCAAGUACUUUCUCGAAGAGCACCGCAACAUCCAAAGAAGGCAAUUAUAAAAACUAAUAUACCAACUAUGAUCAAGAGCGUGGCUGGUGAGAAAUAUCUGGUAUCCAAGAAAUGGGAGAAAUCUUCAUAAACGGCAUAGAUUGUAGAGCCAACCGAUAUUAUCAUCACACCCGUCAAC